rnacentral:rRNA from 1 species
UUUUAUGGAGAGUUUGAUCCUGGCUCAGGACGAACGCUGGCGGCGUGCCUAAUACAUGCAAGUCGAGCGGACUGAUGGGAGCUUGCUCCCUGAUGUUAGCGGCGGACGGGUGAGUAACACGUGGGCAACCUGCCUGUAAGACUGGGAUAACUCCGGGAAACCGGGGCUAAUACCGGAUAACCCGUUCCACCUCAUGGUGGAGCGGUAAAAGAUGGCCUCUGGCUAUCACUUACAGAUGGGCCCGCGGCGCAUUAGCUAGUUGGUAAGGUAAC